rnacentral:rRNA from 1 species
UACGUAGGCAGCAAGCGUUGUUCGGAGUUACUGGGCGUAAAGGGUGUGUAGGCGGUUGCUUAAGUUUGGUGUGAAAUCUCCCGCUCAACUGGGAGGGUGCGCCGAAUACUGAGUGACUCGAGUGGCGGGAGAAGGAAAGUGGAAUUCCUGGUGUAGCGGUGAAAUGCGUAGAUAUCAGGAGGAACACCGGUGGUGUAGACGGCUUCUGGACCGUAACUGACGCUGAAACACGAAAGCGUGGGUAGCAAACAGG